rnacentral:rRNA from 1 species
GACGAACGCUGGCGGCGUGCUUAACACAUGCAAGUCGAACGGAAAGGCCCUGCUUUUGGGGGGUGCUCGAGUGGCGAACGGGGGAGUAACACGUGAGUAACCUGCCCUUGACUUUGGGAUAACUUCAGGAAACUGGGGCUAAUACCGGAUAGGAGCUCCUGCUGCAUGGUGGGGGUUGGAAAGUUUCGGCGGUUGGGGAUGGACUCGCGGCUUAUCAGCUUGUUGGUGGGGUAGUGGCUUACCAAGGCUUGGACGGGUAGCCGGGCUGAGAGGGUGAGCGGACAAAUUGGGACUGAGAUACGGCCCAGCCUCGUCCGGGACGCAGCAGUGCGGAAGAUUGCACAAUGGGAGGAACGCUGAUGCAGCAACGCCGCGUGCGGGAUGACGGCCUUCGCGUUGUAAACCGAUUUCGCCUGUGACGAAGCGUGAGUGACGGUAAUGGGUAAAGAAGCACCGGCUAACUACGUG